UUUACCCUACGGGGGGCAGCAGUAGGGAAUAUUGCUCAAUGGGGGAAACCCUGAAGCAGCAACGCCGCGUGGAGGACGAAGGUUUUAGGAUUGUAAACUCCUUUUGUUAGAGAAGAUUAUGACGGUAUCUAACGAAUAAGCACCGGCUAACUCCGUGCCAGCAGCCACGGUAAUACGGAGGGUGCAAGCGUUACUCGGAAUCACUGGGCGUAAAGAGUGCGUAGGCGGGGUAAUAAGUCAGAUGUGAAAUCCUGUAGCUUAACUACAGAACUGCAUUUGAAACUGUUACUCUGGAGUGGGGGGGG
rnacentral:rRNA from 1 species